rnacentral:misc_RNA from 1 species
CCCUUAUAGAAAGCCAAAGGUCCCUGCAAAUGGCAUUGUAUAUCAUAGGUCAGAAGAUUCUUGGCUUAUGGUGCUCCUUGCACCUCCUUUCUUAUGGAAAUUGCUGCACUGAGUUUUCAACAUCAACAAAUACAGGAGCACAAAAGCACCGUUGUCACUCUAACUAAUAAAGAUGAAGUAUGAUGAGAAAGCAAAUAUAUAUAUGAAAAGAAUAUUCCAGAAAUGCAUGUCGGAAGUGAAUUAUAAUGAACAGGAAAAACAGCGAAGGACAGCCUGCUCAGAUCCACAUCUGUUGUAUAGAAUUAUUUAUUCGGCUAUGAUCCUUAAGGAUGGAAUAAGAAAUGAACACCACAAUAAUGGAAGAAACAAAAAAUUGAAAAAAGAAUUGCCAGACCAUGUUAUGCUUUCAACAAUUCACAACUAUAGUAAAUUUUAGCAUGUUAGAAAAACCAGAGAACAAUUUUCAUUCCUA